AAAGCGUCUGGGGUAGGGACCGGCUGUAUCAGCCCCACUGAUGAGUCUGGUCGGUCCCGAGACCGAAACACUUU
rnacentral:hammerhead_ribozyme from 11 species